rnacentral:rRNA from 1 species
GAUGAACGCUAGCGGCAGGCUUAACACAUGCAAGUCGAGGGGCAGCAUAAUGGAUAGCAAUAUCUAUGGUGGCGACCGGCGCACGGGUGCGUAACGCGUAUGCAACCUACCUUUAACAGGGGGAUAACACUGAGAAAUUGGUACUAAUACCCCAUAAUAUCAUAGAAGGCAUCUUUUAUGGUUGAAAAUUCCGAUGGUUAGAGAUGGGCAUGCGUUGUAUUAGCUAGUUGGUGGGGUAACGGCUCACCAAGGCGACGAUACAUAGGGGGACUGAGAGGUUAACCCCCCACACUGGUACUGAGACACGGACCAGACUCCUAAGGGAGGCAGCAGUGAGGAAUAUUGGUCAAUGGACGCAAGUCUGAAACAGCCAUGCCGCGUGCAGGAUGGCGGCUCUAUGAGUUGUAAACUGCUUUUGUACGAGGGUAAACGAAGAUACGUGUAUCUGUCUGAAAGUAUCGUACUAAUAAGGAUCGGCUAACUCCGUG